rnacentral:tRNA from 1 species
GCCUUCGUGGUGUAAUGGUAGCACACUCGGUGCGUACUCCAGAGGUCCAGGUUCGAUUCCCGGCGAGAGCA